rnacentral:rRNA from 1 species
GAUGAACGCUAGCUACAGGCUUAACACAUGCAAGUCGAGGGGCAGCAGGGAUUUAGCUUGCUAAAUCCGCUGGCGACCGGCGCACGGGUGCGUAACGCGUAUCCAACUUUCCCGUUACUCAGGGAUAGCCUUCCGAAAGGGAGAUUAAUACCUGAUGGUGUUUGAAAUUCGCAUGUUCUUCAAACUAAAGAUUUAUCGGUAACGGAUAGGGAUGCGUGACAUUAGAUAGUAGGCGGGGUAACGGCCCACCUAGUCUACGAUGUCUAGGGGUUCUGAGAGGAAGGUCCCCCACACUGGAACUGAGACACGGUCCAGACUCCUACGGGAGGCAGCAGUGAGGAAUAUUGGUCAAUGGUCGGAAGACUGAACCAGCCAAGUAGCGUGAAGGAUGAAGGUUCUAUGGAUUGUAAACUUCUUUUAUACGGGAAUAAAGCCCACUACGUGUAGUGGUUUGUAUGUACCGUAUGAAUAAGCAUCGGCUAACUCCGUG